rnacentral:rRNA from 1 species
AUUGAACGCUGGCGGCAGGCCUAACACAUGCAAGUCGAGCGGGGUUUUCGGACCUAGCGGCGGACGGGUGAGUAAUGCGUAGGAAGCUACCCGAUAGAGGGGGAUACCAGUUGGAAACGACUGUUAAUACCGCAUAAUGUCUACGGACCAAAGUGCGGGACCUUCGGGCCACAUGCUAUCGGAUGCGCCUAAGUGGGAUUAGCUAGUUGGUGAGGUAAUGGCUCACCAAGGCGACGAUCCCUAGCUGGUUUGAGAGGAUGAUCAGCCACACUGGAACUGAGACACGGUCCAGACUCCUACGGGAGGCAGCAGUGGGGAAUAUUGGACAAUGGGCGCAAGCCUGAUCCAGCCAUGCCGCGUGUGUGAAGAAGGCCUUCGGGUUGUAAAGCACUUUCAGUAGGGAGGAAGCGUUGAGUGUUAAUAGUACUCAGCGUUGACGUUACCUACAGAAGAAGCACCGGCUAACUCUGUGCCAGCAGCCGCCGUAAGAC